rnacentral:rRNA from 1 species
CUGCGCCACAAGUGGCAACCAGCUUUAUUGGGCCUAAAGCGUCCGUAGCCGACCAAGUUAAUCUUCUGUGAAAUUGUUGUGCUCAACAUAACAACGUGCAGAAGACACUGCUUGGAUUGGAACUGGGAGGAGUUAGGAGUAUGUCUGGGGGAGCGGUAAAAUGUUAUAAUCCCAGAUAGACUACCUGUGGCAAAAGCGCCUAACUAGAACAGAUUCGACGGUGAGGGACGAAAGCCAGGGGAGCAAACCGGAUUAGAUACCCGAGUAGUCC